rnacentral:sRNA from 2 species
UUGGUCGCAGGUUCGAAUCCUGCACGACCCACCAAUAUACAAGGUGGUAACUGGUAGAGAACGUGAAGGUUAACGUUGCUUUAGCAACGGCCCGAAGGGCGAGGCGAAGCCGAGUCAUCCUGCACGACCCACCA